rnacentral:lncRNA from 1 species
GACGGUGUUGCCUUCUUCUCUGCCCUCUGGCUGUCGUGAGUCUCCUCCCUCCACCGUAGCAGGUGCAAGUCCAAUGUGCAGAUGCCAUACCUGUGGUUUCCAAAGGGGAUGUUGUGUCCGAAGUUGCUUUUGAACCUACUAAUGGCUGGGUCACAGUGGAAGCAAGACGCAAACCAAGAAAACAGGAUAAGGGAAAGGAG